rnacentral:lncRNA from 1 species
ACUGAUUGUCGACUUGGUAUGCUUCGGAAAGCCGAAGGCAUCAAAAUGGCCAAAGUUGUAUUGGAAUAAAGUCCGCGAGAGCAAAUGAUGUGAAACACCUGCACUUGGCAGAUUUGCUCUCGGGGACCGGUCCCUGGCGGGAGGGACCGGUUCCCGAACAUGGUCAGCGCGGGUUUGCUCUCGGGGACCGAUCCCUGGCAGGGAAAGACCGGUUCCAUUGGCUGGUGUCACGCCCCGGGACCCAGCGGAAGCCCGCCCGGCACGUGUCCAGACCCGCCAUACGUCUAAAAUAUAUAAGGCGUCUAAAAACAACAAUAAUAAAAGCAAUAGUAAUAGACAUCUAGGAGUAUCAGAGCAUAAUAAAAGUCUAAAUGCUACAACAAAGGAUAAGGAUAAAACUGUAAAUCCACUAAAUAAAACAUAAAGUGAUACAAGAAAAUUCCAGAUACAAGUAAUAUAGGUAGGUACAUAGGUGGUCUCUAUACAUGGAUACAAAAACCUCUCACUCUCUCAACUACAAAAAGAAAAAGCAAACCACCUAGGCAAAGUACCGCUCCUCGCUAGCUAGCUAAGCGAUCCCCUUGCCGCGAUCCCGUGCCUCCGCCGGUGCCGAAGGCUCUGAAAAGUAAACCAUAAAACAGGGGCAUGAGAACUAUUAAAAAUAGUUCCCAGUCGGCAAUUACUGACUUUAGUGAAUGCACCACAAGGCCCAAAGCUACAAAGGGUGUCAGUGACUAUAAAUGCAGAAAAGCGAAAGGUAGAUAAAAAUUUAACUUACUACAAUAUGAUAUCUCUACUUAGCAUAAAUAGCACAAGUAUGAAGCAACUGUGCAUGAAGUGAAAGUCUCCAACUAUCAUAAUGUUCACAAUGCGAAAUAGUAAAGUUCCGUUGUUUACUAUUCUAGUCAAUGUCCAAGUAGUACACUAAGUCAUCAUCUGUCCACAUGUCAUGACGAAUACUCAAAGUCAAAUCUGAAGAGACCCACCCGAAGGCUGUCUAUGGCCCUGAGACCCACCCGUAGGCUGUCUGGCCGGUGCCGAGCCUAAUGGCCCCGUGGUAGUCAUCAUCCCCACCCUAGGAAUGAGCCUGUCCCACGGCAAUCCACUUCGGCGCCCAAUCCCGCACGGCGAAUAUGAAUCGCGAUGGCUAUCUCCGGAGUGCCGGCUUGUAGGGAGCGACCCUCACAAGCAUGUGCGAAUGAGCACAAUGGCAAGUAGUCAAACGAUCUGUCGCAAGUACCAAGUCCUCAUGUCUAAUAACAUGGAAUGUGUCAAGUAUCUCAAUGGCCUAUCCCUAUGUCAUCAUGUCUCUAACAUGGAAUAUAGCAGAUAUGUAGUGGCCUAUCAAUAUGUCUCUAUGUUGCAGUUUCAUAGUUUACUAGUUUCAAGUGCCCCUUUAUGACACUCUUGUUCUCUAUGUCAAAGCAUGGCAACUAUGUUCCAAAGUACAUAUUCCAAGUCAUAAUUCUCAUAAGAGAUGUAUUUUCCACUUGUAAAAUAAACACUUUUCCCGUAUGCAUGGAUUCUACUCAUAUAGCUCUACUAUAUAGUAAAAUUUUCAUAAUACACAAGGCAUGCAUUUUAAGUGCUCUAAAAUUCAUAUAAAUUCCAUUUAGCAUAGAAAUGAAUUUAAAAAAUAUUUUACAACAAGUAGAAAGAGCAUAGGGGCCAUUUUGCCCCAUUUCCACGAAGCCAAACCCACCAAAAUCGACUUCCUCGUUUCGCCAAACGAAGGUAUCCACAAGCUUCCUAGUACCCUAGAAACAUCAAAAAUAGGGUCACCCAAACUAAACGAAGAGCAAAUAGCUCAAUCAUUAAGCUUCUCAAGCUAGGGUUGGGAAAAACUCACCUCAAGUGAAAAACCUCUCUUAAUCUUCAAAUGGAAGGUAGGGGUCUUCCAAUCUAACCUAUAUAAAGGUUCCAAACCAUUCAAAUGAGAUCAAAACCCUCAAAUCCAAAAACCCCCAAAAUAAACCCUAAAUCCCAAAAUCUAGGGUUUCAUCUAGUAAAACCUAGGAAAACAUGUAUCAAAAGGGGAUUACAUGCUACCAACCUCAAGAGGAGCUCCAAUCCAAGCUCAAAACCAAGUAGGGUUGAAGUUUGAUCCUCCACAAAGCUCCAACCGCAAGUUCAAAGCCACCAAAGUGAGAAAUAGGGAAGAAGAUGAUGCUCCAAGGCCUCUAAGCAAGCUCCUUCUCCUCUUCUUCUUCUCCCUCUCUUCUUCUCUCUCUAAAAUGCAAAGGGUUGAGAGAAAUGAGGGAAAGAGAGAGAAGAAAGGCUCUCAAUAGGCUCUAAAGUAACAAAAUCCUGAUAAGCCCCUCGAAAAUCCAAAAUCACAUCAGCCCGGUCUGGGCAGUUUUCGCCCAGAGGGACCGAUCUCCCCAACCUGGGACCGGUCUCUCAGCCUGCCCCCGAAAAUCCAUCGUUCGGGAACCGGUCUCUCCCUGCGCGGGACCGGUCUCUCCCCGCGCAGACGCGCUCGGGGACCGGUCUCGACUGCCAGGGACCGGUUGCCUCGCCGGCUGCGCAGCACUGUUCACUGGGGGCCGGUCUCUCCCAUCUGGGACCGGUCCCCGAGAGUAAAAACUCUCAGGACCCUGCCAAAACUCUCGAGAUCGAACUUUUAGGCCGGUAUACCAUCGACGGCCCUCCACCAAGUGUGGAAAAGUUCGGAAUACACAUCGAACACUCGAACCUCGCAAUUUGCAAAGGUCCAGUGUGCUACAGCUGGUGGUUGCGGCGACACGUGAUGCAACCGGUCCCCGAGCCAGGGGGACCGGUUCCCGAACGCCUAGAUUUGGGGAGGUCCUGAGGGACCGGUCCCUGGUAGGGAGAGACCGGUCCCCGUAGCCCGAAUCUACCCAGGUUGGGCUAUGUCAUGAAAGCAAAGUUGAAGGAUUUUU